rnacentral:tRNA from 1 species
GCCGGCGUGGCGGAAUUGGCAGACGCGCUAGACUCAAAAUCUGGUACUCGCAAGGGUGUGUGGGUUCGAGCCCCUCCGCCGGUA